GACAGCCAGGAUGUUGGCUUAGAAGCAGCCAUCAUUUAAAGAAAGCGUAAUAGCUCACUGGUCGAGUCGGCCUGCGCGGAAGAUGUAACGGGGCUAAACCAUGCACCGAAGCUGCGGCAGCGACGCUUAUGCGUUGUUGGGUAGGGGAGCGUUCUGUAAGCCUGUGAAGGUGUGCUGUGAGGCAUGCUGGAGGUAUCAGAAGUGCGAAUGCUGACAUAAGUAACGAUAAAGCGGGUGAAAAGCCCGCUCGCCGGAAGACCAAGGGUUCCUGUCCAACGUUAAUCGGGGCAGGGUGAGUCGACCCCUAAGGCGAGGCCGAAAGGCGUAGUCGAUGGGAAACAGGUUAAUAUUCCUGUACUUGGUGUUACUGCGAAGGGGGGACGGAGAAGGCUAUGUUGGCCGGGCGACGGUUGUCCCGGUUUAAGCGUGUAGGCUGGUUUUCCAGGCAAAUCCGGAAAAUCAAGGCUGAGGCGUGAUGACGAGGCACUACGGUGCUGAAGCAACAAAUGCCCUGCUUCCAGGAAAAGCCUCUAAGCAUCAGGUAACAUCAAAUCGUACCCCAAACCGACACAGGUGGUCAGGUAGAGAAUACCAAGGCGCUUGAGAGAACUCGGGUGAAGGAACUAGGCAAAAUGGUGCCGUAACUUCGGGAGAAGGCACGCUGAUAUGUAGGUGAAGUCCCUCGCGGAUGGAGCUGAAAUCAGUCGAAGAUACCAGCUGGCUGCAACUGUUUAUUAAAAACACAGCACUGUGCAAACACGAAAGUGGACGUAUACGGUGUGACGCCUGCCCGGUGCCGGAAGGUUAAUUGAUGGGGU
rnacentral:rRNA from 1 species